rnacentral:rRNA from 1 species
AAACCAGCACCUCAAGUGGUCAGGAUGAUUAUUGGGCCUAAAGCAUCCGUAGCCUGUUCUGUAAGUUUUCGGUUAAAUCCACUAGCUCAACUAGUGGGCUGCCGAAAAUACUGUAGAACUAGGGAGUGGGAGAGGUAGACGGUAUUCGGUAGGAAGGGGUAAAAUCCUUUGAUCUAUUGAGGACCACCUGUGGCGAAGGCGGUCUACCAGAACACGUUCGACGGUGAGGGAUGAAAGCUGGGGGAGCAAACCGGAUUAGAAACCCGAGUAGUCC